GGUCCCAUCGUCUAGUGGCCCAGGACACAGCCCUUUCAAGGCUGCGACACGGGUUCGAAUCCCGUUGGGACCGCCA
rnacentral:tRNA from 1 species